rnacentral:rRNA from 1 species
GACGUAGGGUGCGAGCGUUGUCCGGAUUUAUUGGGCGUAAAGAGCUCGUAGGCGGUUCGUCGCGUCAGCUGUGAAAACCCGCAGCUUAACUGUGGGCUUGCAGCUGAUACGGGCGGGCUAGAGUUCGGUAGGGGAGACUGGAAUUCCUGGUGUAGCGGUGAAAUGCGCAGAUAUCAGGAGGAACACCGGUGGCGAAGGCGGGUCUCUGGGCCGAUACUGACGCUGAGGAGCGAAAGCGUGGGGAGCGAACAGG